rnacentral:rRNA from 1 species
UACGGGAGGCAGCAGGGGGAAUAUUGCACAAUGGGCGCAAGCCUGAUGCAGCCAUGCCGCGUGUAUGAAGAAGGCCUUCGGGUUGUAAAGUACUUUCAGUCGUGAGGAAGGUGUUAAGGUUAAUAACCUUAGCAAUUGACGUUAGCGACAGAAGAAGCACCGGCUAACUCCGUGCCAGCAGCCGCGGUAAUACGGAGGGUGCGAGCGUUAAUCGGAAUUACUGGGCGUAAAGGGCACGCAGGCGGUUAAUUAAGUUGGAUGUGAAAUCCCCGGGCUUAACCUGGGAAUGGCAUUCAAGACUGGUUAGCUAGAGUCUUGUAGAGGGGGUAGAAUUCCAUGUGUAGCGGUGAAAUGCGUAGAGAUGUGGAGGAAUACCGGUGGCGAAGGCGGCCCCUGGACAAAGACUGACGCUCAUGUGCGAAAGCGUGGGGAGCAAACG